AUUUAGAUAGUUUAAUAAAAAUGUUGGUUUGUGGUUCCAAAGAUAUGUGAGGUUAUUCUAAAUU
rnacentral:tRNA from 1 species